rnacentral:tRNA from 1 species
GGGGUUGUGGCUCGGUGGUAGAGCACUUGCCUAGCAUGCAUGAGACACUGGGUUUGAUUCUCAGCACCA